rnacentral:tRNA from 1 species
UGGGGUAUAGAUCAAUGGCAGACCAUGCUCAGCAUGCAUGAGGCCCUGGGUUCAAUCCCCAGAACCGAAA